rnacentral:rRNA from 1 species
UGGGCGUAAGCGUGCGCAGGCGGUUUUGUAAGACAGGCGUGAAAUCCCCGGGCUUAACCUGGGAACUGCGCUUGUGACUGCAAGACUGGAGUGUAGCAGAGGGGGGUAGAAUUCCACGUGUGGCAGUGAAAUGCGUAGAGAUGUGGAGGAAUACCGAUGGCGAAGGCAGCCCCCUGGGUUAACACUGACGCUCAUGCACGAAAGCGUGGGGAGCAAACAGGAUUAGAUACCCUGGUAGUCCACGCCCUAAACGAUGUCAACUAGGUGUUGGGGAAGGAGACUUCUUUAGUACCGCAGCUAACGCGUGAAGUUGACCGCAUGGGGAGUACGGUCGCAAGAUUAAAACUCAAAGGAAUUGACGGGGACCCGCACAAGCGGUGGAUUAUGUGGAUUAAUUCGAUGCAACGCGAAAAACCUUACCUACCCUUGACAUGCCAGGAACCCUGCUGAGAGGCGGGGGUGCCCGAAGGGAGCCUGGACACAGGUGCUGCAUGGCUGUCGUCAGCUCGUGUCGUGAGAUGUUGGGUUAAGUCCCGCAACGAGCGCAACCCUUGCCAAUAAUUGCCAUCAUUCAGUUGGGCACUUUAUUGGGACUGCCGGUGAUAAACCGGAGGAAGGUGGGGAUGACGUCAAGUCCUCAUGGCCCUUAUGGGUAGGGCUUCACACGUAAUACAAUGGUCGGUACAGAGGGUUGCCAACCCGCGAGGGGGAGCCAAUCCCAGAAAGCCGAUCGUAGUCCGGAUUGUUCUCUGCAACUCGAGAGCAUGAAGUCGGAAUCGCUAGUAAUCGCGGAUCAGCAUGUCGCGGUGAAUACGUUCCCGGGUCUUGUACACACCGCCCGUCACACCAUGGGAGUGGAAUCUGCCAGAA